rnacentral:rRNA from 1 species
CCCUUAGAUGUUCUGGGCCGCACGCGUGCUACACUGAGUGGAUCAGCGGGUCAGGUUGCGCGAAAGUGUUUCCUAAUCUUGAAAUCCGCUCGUGAUGGGGAUUGACGGUUGCAAUUUUCCGUCAUGAACGAGGAAUACCUUGUAAGCGCGGGUCAUCAUCCCGCGCUGAAUACGUCCCUGCCCUUUAUACACACCGCCCGUCGCUCCUACCGAUUGAGUGGUCCGGUGAGGCUUUGGGAUCUGAGCGGAAAGAGCGUUUCGCUGUUUCUGCUCGGAAAACUCAGUCGAACCUUAUCAUUUAGAGGAAGGAGAAGUCGUAACA